CAGCCGCCGCGGUAAUACGUAGGGCGCAAGCGUUAUCCGGAAUUAUUGGGCGUAAAGAGCUCGUAGGCGGUCUGUCGCGUCUGCCGUGAAAGUCCGGGGCUCAACCCCGGAUCUGCGGUGGGUACGGGCAGACUAGAGUGAUGUAGGGGAGACUGGAAUUCCUGGUGUAGCGGUGAAAUGCGCAGAUAUCAGGAGGAACACCGAUGGCGAAGGCAGGUCUCUGGGCAUUAACUGACGCUGAGGAGCGAAAGCAUGGGGAGCGAACAGGAUUAGAUACCCCUGUAGUCCCUGUCUCUUAUAA
rnacentral:rRNA from 1 species